AACUGGCCGGGAACAAUAAAAAUUCUAUACUGGAACAUCCGAGGAUUGGGGAAUUCUCGAGCAUCUAAAAGUCUUCAAUAUAUGUUGAAGCUUUAUAAACCCCAAAUGGUCUUCUUAAUAGAAACAAAAUAGGACAGUAUUAGAUUGGAGCGAUUACGGAAACGAUGUGGCUUUCAAAAUGGAAUGGAUAUUUCAUCGAAUGGGUUACGUGGUGGAUUAAGCCUUACCUGGAAUGGUAAUAAUUUGGUUCAAGUUUAUAGUUAUUCGAACAAUCACAUUGAUGUGUCGAUUAAUGAAGGAAAUAUUCCGUAUAAGUGGCGGUUUAUUGGGUUUUAUGGUAACCCAAAUCAAUCAAACAAACAUGAGUCAUGGAAUCUACUUCGCAGAUUAAAGUCUAAUAGCUCCUUACCAUGGUGUGUUUGUGGAGAUUUUAACGAAAUUAUGUAUGCACAUGAGAAAAGAGGAGGAAGAACAAAAGAUGAGAGACAAAUGGAAGAAUUUCGAAAUGCUCUGGAAGAUUGUGGUCUGGCUGACAUGAGUUUCAAAGGGAAAAAGUUUACUUGGGAAAGGGGCAAUUUUGCAGACACAAAUAUCAGAGAACGACUUGAUAGGGGAGUUAUGAACCAAGAGCGGCUAAACCUGUUCCCUGAGUAUGAAGUCCAACACUUAACUCAUUCUUUCUCUGAUCACUGCCCAGUCCUCAUCCAGACGAUGUCAAAUGUAAAAAGCACUGGAGGUAAUAUUUUUAGAUUCGAAUCUUGGUGGGUCACUGAGCCAUCGUGUGAAGAAAUCAUCAAGGAAGCUUGACAGAAGCAAUCUGGUAACAUUUUGGAAAAUUUUGAAUAUACCUAAUUGAGCUUACAAAAAUGGGCAAAGGAAAUCAAAGGGAAUCAUGAAAGGAAAUCGAAGAUUCGAAGAGGAAGACUGGCCGAACUUGAUAAAAAGAAUAGAGAUGAUAUCCUUGCUGAGAUCAUUUGUAACACCCUUAACCUCGUCCCGUUACCGGAACAAGAUUAUAGAGUAUUACCAAUCAUUACAGUACAUUUGCACAUAAACAAGUAUAAAUGCAAUAUAUCCAUCUAAAUAUAAUUUUAAUGAGUCCACAGUACUUUACAAGUGUAAUUAAAACAAACCGAGAUUCGAUCCUAAAGCUUAGUAAAUUUUUCGUGAAAUUUUAAAAUUUCUUCUUUUGAACAGUACCAUACGCCUGUGUGACUAAUUUAACAUGUCCGUGCGGCAUGGGACACGCCCGUGUCCUCAACCCAUGUGCAACACUGACUUUUAAACACGGCUAUGACACACGUCCGUGUUGCUUGCCCGUGUACAAAACUGACUUUAAGACACGGCCGUGGCAACCAAGGCACACGCCCGUGUGACAAACUAUGUGAACUCAAAAUGAACCUUGUAUUUUAAAAAUUUACCAAUCCUGUAAAUUUCAAUCUAUAACCAAUACAGAUAUCAAUAUUAAACCAAUCCAAACGCAUUUUAUAUAUUAUCUAAUACUUAACUUUAAACACUUAUCAUGUAUCAUUAUCAAUUAUCAAUUUACUUAUUUCACUAUUACAAUCACAAUCCAAUAUAACACACUUAAGACAUCCUAGAUAUAUGCCAUUACCAAUAAUUAACAUGCUUUACCUUUUUGAGCUUCAGGAUCGACUUAUGAUGCUAAUUCGACGACCUGUCUUUAACCUAACCUGUGCACGAAAACAAACCGUACGCUGAGUAUGAAUUCAGUGAUAUUUCUAUAAACCGAUACUUAAGUCAAUAAUAAAUCAUAUAUCAAUGAACCUUGAGAAUUCAAUCUAUUACUCCUAAUAGUUCAAUCAUUUGUUUUUGAUAUAUAAUGCUAAGAUCAUGUUAAUCACUUUCGAUGAAAUGUAUACAGUUUCAAUGUUUAUUCAUUAUCCGUCGAUUUUUCAUAUUUAUUCAGUAAUAACCUGUGAUUAGUAUCAUUCAGACAUUCAGUAGCAGUCCAUUAUUCAGUAACAAUUAGUUUUUCAGUACUUUUAUUUACAAUUCAUUUGAGUAAUAAUAUUAUUCAGCUUUCAUUCAAUAUUCUGUACCAUCUCAUUUCAAUAACAGUCAAUAUUCAAUAGCAGACAGACUUUAAUACUUUUCAUUACCCCUAUUAACAUGACUCGGACCUAGACGGAUACACGGAUCCAACUCACACACCGAGGAUAGUAUACAGUGUUUCAUCAGCCGAAGCCAAAAUACACCGUAAGGGUAGCAAUAACAGUAACAGUAACAGUAGCGGUACACAAAGUACCUCAUCAGAACAAAUUUGGAACAGUAACAGUAACAGUCAAAUACGGAGUACCUCUUCGGAACGAAUCCGGAACAGUCAUAGUAGUCGACAUAUAUAGUGUCUCAUCGACACACAGUCAGAAUAUCCCUGAACACUUCCAAUCCUAUGACAUGCCAACUAUAUCCGACUAGCCUGAUACAAUUAAUAGGGUAUUCAAUAAACUUUCAAAUUUUCAAUUUUAUUUGUAAUUUAAUUUCAAUUCAAUUUAAUACAUUUUUCCAUAUCAAUCCACAUGCAAAUCAAUUUCAAUGCAAUAUACAUUUUUCAGUUUUCCACUCAAUAUUCACAUAUUCUAUUCAAUAUCAAUAAUCACUAAUAAUUCAUAAAUUUUUUAUUCAAUUCAAUAUCAUAAUAAUAAUACUUACCAUUCAUAUAAAUAAUAAAUUCAACAAAUAAUUAUUAGAUUUGGUUUAUAAAAAUACAAACCGUAGUUUUCAAGCUAACUCCUGUUGUCUUUGUCUUGUCCUUACUUAGUCGAGAUUUCCCGAGAUAACGUUAGCUACGAAAAUUAAAAUAAUUAUACCAUUAACUUUCAGCACUCAUUAUAACAAUUAAUUGAAUUUCUAUUCAAUUUACACCUUAUUUCCAAUUUAGGUCCUAACUAAUUCAUUCACUUUACUAACUUAAUUCAUUCUCCAUUUCUAUUCAAAUUCCAUCCAAACUCAAAUUUAAUUAUUAAAUUUUCACCUUAUCUCAUUAAUUUCGAAAUUUCCUCAAAUUAACCCCUACAACAUAAAACUUAUGAAUUACUUAACAAUUCAAUCCUUAUUUCAUUUCUAACUUGAAUUUCUAUCAAUUUAGCCCUUAAUUCAUCAUUUUAUUUAACAUAAACAAUAUUUAGAAAUCUAAUAAUUUUAAAAAUCUUAAUUUAAUUUCAUCAAAACUUUGUUCCAAAGCUUCUAAAACAUUAAAAUUAAGUAAAAAUGGCUAAAUUGACUUACCUAUUAAACUUCCAAGCUUCAAAAUCCCUAUUUUCCAUUUUUUCCUUUCUUUUUCUCCUUCCUUUCUUCUCUAUUUCUUUCUAUUCUUUUUCUUUUUCUUUUACUUUGUUCUAUUUUAUAUAUAAUAAUAAUAAUAAUAACUUACAUAAUAAGUAAAUAUACAUGUAUUUUACAAAUGUAGAUAUACUAAUAUUACACAUGUCACUAUACAUACCAUACAUUUGUCAACUUUUUAUUUAUUUUUCACAUAAAAAUCUUAUAAUAUAAUUAUUUAAUUAAUAAAUAUAUUUUAUAAAUAAUAAAUAUAUAUUAAUACUUAAAUACAAGCAUUACAAGUGUAUGUAUUUUUAUUAAUACACUUGUACCCAAUCAUUACCACACAUUUGUCUUACUUUUAUUUAUUUAUCAUAUAAUAUCAAUUUAAUAAUAAUAAAUACAUUAAUAUUUACUUAAAUAAUAAGCAAAUACAUACAUAUAUUACAAAUGUGUGUAUUAUAUUUAUUACACUUGUAGACACUUGGCACUCUUUUUGGCUUAUUUACUCAUUUAGUCCCUUCAAUUUUUUUAUUCUAUAAUUAAACUUUCACACUAUAUUCAAUUUAAUCCUUUUAUCCAAUUAUCCUUAAUUUAAGCUAAUUCACUUAAUUAAACUCUAAUUAAUCACUCAAUUAACUUCGUAAAUAUUUAUUACGAAUCCAUUUUUUAGAAACGGAGACCUGAAAAUAUACUUUUCCGGUAACGGUAAAAUUCAGGUCAUUACAUCAUUGAUGUGAAGAUAGAAUUAAAUUGGGAGAUGGAAAAGGAAGAGAUGUACUGGGAGCAGAGGGCGAGAUCGAAUUAGCUUAGCUAAGGGGACAGAAAUACGGCUUUCUUCCAUAGUCAAGCGUCCCAAAGAUGCAGAAUAAAUCGUAUCCGAGGGAUGGAGGAUAAAGAAGGUAUUCUCAAAACGGAAAGAAGAAGAUAUGGAAAUCAUAAUAAGGAGCUACUUUAUGAAGCUAUUCGAAUCUAAAGGAGUUGGUAAUACAAAUCACCUACUCUUAGGUUUUCGCUGCAGUAUUUCUGACAGUAUGGAUCAAAUGCUGGCUAAAGAUUAUAAAGAGGAGGAAAUUUUUGAAGCAAUAAAUAGUAUAGGGUCGACAAAAGCUUCUAGACUUGAUGGAUUUUCUGCAAUCUUCAUUGAAAAAUUUUGGCAUAUUAUAGGGAGGGAGGUAAGUGAUUUUUGCUUGGAAGUUCUUAAUAAAGGAAAAUCUCUUGAUCUUUUAAACCAUACGAAUAUCGUGCUAAUCCUAAAGAAUCCCACCCAAAAAGCCCAUCAGAAUUUAGACCAAUUAGCAUUUGCUCCGUCUUUUAUAAAAUAAUUUCAAAAUCUAUAGCAAACAGACUACAGAAAGUACUUGAUUUUUGCAUCGAUCCAGCUUAAAGCGCCUUUGUAUCGGGUGGAUUAAUUACAAAUAAUGUUCUUCUUGCAUAUGAAAUUCUACAAUCUAUGAAGAAUAAAAGGAUGGGGAAAAAAGGUCUGAUGGCUCUUAAGAUUGAUAUGAGCAAAGCCUAUGAUCGGGUGGAAUGGAAUUUCUUGGAACAAAUGAUGGCUAAAAUGGGAUUUUAUGAGUCUUGAAUUUAGCUUAUUAUGAGAUGCAUCAGUACGGUUUCGUAUUCAAUCAUUUUGAAUGGAAAGUCAGGGGAAGUGUUUCGUCCAGAGAGAGGCCUACAUCAAGGGGACCCUUUGAGUCCUUUUCUGUUCCUUAUAUACAGUGAGGGACUGUCUACAUUAUUAAGACUUGCAAGCGAGGAAGGAAUGCUGAAAGGAAUAAAGGCGAGUAGACGAGGCCCUCAGAUUACUCGCCUUCUUUUUGUAGAUGAUUGCGUGCUGUUUGGGGAAGCAAAUGAAAAAGGUGCAAAAACUUUUGGAAAGAUCUUAAAAGAGUACGAAGCCUGUUCGGGACAAUCCAUUAAUUAUGGAAAGUCAACAGUUUUCUUUAGCUCAAACACAACUGAAAUGAUUUGUUUAGCUAUCUCAAAUAAAUUGAGGGUGAAACGAACGAAUAACACAGAAAAAUAUCUGGGCUUGCCAAAUAUGGUGGGAAAGAGGAAAAGGUUAGCAUUCCAACACCUUAAAGAUCGAAUUAAAGCAAAAAUUAACUGUAGGAGUUCUCAAUUACUAUUGCAAGGGGAAAAGAAGUUUUCAUUAAAUCUGUGCUACAAGCAAUUCCAGCAUAUACAAUGGGAUGUUUUUUAUUACCGAAGUCAGUAUGCGUUGAUAUGGAACAAAUUAUAGCCAAGCAUUGGUGGUAAAAAGGGUUCGGGAGAAGGGGGAUACAUUGGUAGUCAUGGAAUAACUUAUGUGAAUUAAAUGAAUUCAGUGGUCUUGGUUAUUGUAAUUUUGCAAAUUUUAAUUUAGCCCUCUUCGCUAAGCAAGGAUGGCGAUUAAUUGAAAACCCCAAUUCUCUUUUAGCACAGAUGUUAAAGGCCAAAUAUUAUUUGAAUACUGAUUUUCUAAACUCAAAGCUAGGAAACUUACCUUCAUAUACUUGGAAAAUUAUAUGGGCUGCAAAAGGCCUUUUGCGGACUGGAUUAUGUUGGAGGGUGGGAAACGGCCGAAAUAUAAGUAUUGAAGAGGAUGUCUGGGCUCCGAAGGAUGAAAAUCUACAUAUUCAAAAAAUAGUAAGAAAUCAGAAUUUAUUGAAGGUAGCAGACCUAAUUGAUAGCAAUGCUAGAUCAUGGAAAACAGAGUUGAUUACAGAUACCUUUUCCGUAGAAGAUGCUCAGAGAAUACUCCAAAUCCCGCUUGCUCACUCCCGAUAGGACAACUUUAUGGCUUGGAGAGGCGAACCAACAGGCGAAUAUACAGUCCAAAGUGGGUACAGAUUACUCUUUCGAGGCAAUUCCAUCAAUAAUAAUAGAUACAAGCCAAAUGAAAACAGGAAAUGUUGCAAAAAAAUGUGGAAUAGUGACCUCCCCUCAAAAUUAAAAAUUAGAGCCUGGAGAGCCACUCUAAACUACCUUCCUACACUAUCAAAUCUACGCAUUAAAAGACUAGCUAAUGACGCCGUCUGCCCGAGAUGUCAGCAAGGUGUGGAGAAUAUGGAUCACGUCUUUCGAGAAUGCGCUACUUCAAGGGAAACAUGGAAUAGCUUAAAAUAUGACUGGCCUGAAAGAAUAGCAAAUCUGAAAUUUAUGGAAUGGUUUACUUGGAUCAUGCUAAGCAGCAGUACUGAUAUCUGUCGAUCAUUUCUAUGCACCAUUUGGGUUAUCUAGUCGGCUAGAAACAAAUGGAUUCACGAGGGUAAGAAAAUGUCAGGGACAGAGACGGCAAGAUUCAGCUUACAGUACUUACAAGAACUAAAUAACAUUAAAUGGGAAAAACUUGCCUUUAGCCCGAUAAGUGCAGAAUGGAGGCCUCCGAUUCAAGGUAUCUACAAAAUCAAUUUCGAUGCAGCAGUGGACCUUAAAACACAAAGGUCAUGUUCGGGACUCAUAGUCAGAGACUGGAAAGGGAAAAUCCUAGCCACAAAAACCAUAAAUCAUGAGAAUAUACCUUCGAGGUUUGCAGCCGAGUCUGUUGCAUGUUUACAGGCAGUUAUCUUAGGAAGGGAUCUAGGAUUAAAGUUUGUUGACAUUGAAGGGGAUUUUUUGACAGUGAUAAAAAAAGCUCAAACUAAGAGCAUAGACAAGUCGGUAAUCGGCGUAGACAUUCAAGACAUUCAAGAAAUGUGCAAGAUUUUCUAUGAAAGUAAGUUCAUUUAUGUACGAAGAAAAGCAAACGAACAAGCGCAUGAUCCGGUAUCAAAAGGCUUAAAAAUGGUAGAAAAGACUUACAUUAUUCACAGACCAGUUGCUGAGGGCGUCACAGAGGUAGAAAUUGAUCGAGGAUGGGGGUGAAGAAUUCCAACAGGUGGAUGAUUUAGAGAAGGAACCCUAAUGAAUACCAGUCUUUUGUCCUUCUCCAAGAGCUGUAAAUGAAAAUGAAGAUAUUUUAAGAAGAUUUUUAGGAAAUAACAGCUCAUUAAUGUUGGGUUGUCUUUUCAUGUCUUUUAUUAUUUUUGUUUUGCAAAGAGUGGCAGGCCCUUCG
rnacentral:lncRNA from 1 species